CCUCCCGUUAUCCAUUUCUAAAAUUGUGGAACUUCUUCACUUCUAAAUUAAUUGUAGUGCUUCUGGCUUCAUUUGAAUGUUGUACAGGUAAAAUAGUGUGUCCUGUUGUUUGAGAUUCUUUAUUCAUAUUGACAGUUUAUUUAUGACCUUUAUUCAUGGUCUAAAUUAUGCGUUCAGCUAUCUUAAUUUCAUGAAACAAUAACGAAUUUGUUAAUUAUUACUCGGGACACGGUUAAGAAAUUAAAAGUUCAACACACACACACACACACACACGAGCUUCCUCAUGGUCGACGUGCGGCCUCUCUCCAGAACCUUCUUGAGCCCCUCAAGCGCCGCUUCCUGCUCCUUUAUAUCCCCGUCGAUCGCCCUCAUCAGCCCACCAUGCUCUCUUGAACCGAAGCCAUUGCCUCCGCCCUCUUUGUCUGGUUCCUCGUUCUAAACACCCUCUCCCUCUGCUCUGCCGUUAGCUCCCUAACGGCGCUGUCUACUAAACGGAGAAUCAGAGAGGCCUUGUACGCUCAGAAGCUGUUUGAGCAAAUUCUCUUGACGCGCAAGUCACCCCGAAGGAUUUCUCGACAUUCUCUUGGGGCGUGCUUGCCAACAUUGACAUUGUGUUUAGUGUAUCCGUGGUGUGUUUGUUGUUGGGUUUGAAUGUGCCAAUUUAUAUACUGUGGAUUACGAAAGCGUCUUGUCUUUUUUUUAUUAGGGAUAAGCUAAGGUGAUUUGGAG
rnacentral:lncRNA from 1 species